rnacentral:rRNA from 1 species
GACGAACGCUGGCGGCGUGCUUAACACAUGCAAGUCGAACGGAAAGGCCCUGCUUUUGUGGGGUGCUCGAGUGGCGAACGGGUGAGUAACACGUGAGUAACCUGCCCUUGACUUUGGGAUAACUUCAGGAAACUGGGGCUAAUACCGGAUAGGAGCUCCUGCUGCAUGGUGGGGGUUGGAAAGUUUCGGCGGUUGGGGAUGGACUCGCGGCUUAUCAGCUUGUUGGUGGGGUAGUGGCUUACCAAGGCUUUGACGGGUAGCCGGCCUGAGAGGGUGACCGGCCACAUUGGGACUGAGAUACGGCCCAGACUCCUACGGGAGGCAGCAGUGGGGAAUAUUGCGCAAUGGGCGGAAGCCUGAUGCAGCAACGCCGUGUGCGGGAUGACGGCCUUCGGGUUGUAAACCGCUUUCGCCUGUGACGAAGCGUGAGUGACGGUAAUGGGUAAAGAAGCACCGGCUAACUACGUG